UACGGGGGGGGCAAGCGUUGUUCGGAAUUACUGGGCGUAAAGGGCUCGUAGGCGGCCAACUAAGUCGGACGUGAAAUCCCUCGGCUUAACCGGGGAACUGCGUCCGAUACUGGAUGGCUGGAGUAUGGGAGAGGGAUGCGGAAUUCCAGGUGUAGCGGUGAAAUGCGUAGAUAUCUGGAGGAACACCGGUGGCGAAGGCGGCAUCCUGGACCAUUACUGACGCUGAGUGAGCGAAAGCCAGGGGAGCAAACGGG
rnacentral:rRNA from 1 species